ACCAGCAGGCUAUGGGGCAUUUAUUCAGUGCCUUUAUGGUUAACCUAUAGACAUGGUGGCAAGAUGAAGCAAGCUACUUGGAAAAGAGAAUGGAGAGCAUAGAGAGACCAGACAGAAGCAGAAGAAAGUUGGCCUUUGGUACCAUUGUAACACAGCAAGAGACAAAUCUUCCAAGGAUGCCAUAUUGAGUCUUGGCAGGGGAUGGAGUGCUUCCUGCAGGAGUGUGUACUCCUUGAUGGCCUUCAAGUGUUGAGCCUGAGAUGGACACUUAAGACUUCAAGCAGAACAUCUAACAUGUAUUUUGAGAUGAUUGAACUCUGGUCAUCAGACUUGAAGGGAAGCAUCUUUACCUUUCUGGACAUGAGAAAUCUUUUGAAGAAACAUAGGAAACCAUAAUUCUGUAGAAGUUUGUUAAAAUGCAUACAUGUCUAAAAACUAUUUAAAUGUCAUUACUGUACAAUAGUGUAGUCAAUACCCAAUCUUGAAAUCAUGUGCCAACAAAUAAAGCCUCCUGUACACGUAA